rnacentral:rRNA from 1 species
GACGAACGCUGGCGGCGUGCUUAACACAUGCAAGUCGAACGGAAAGGCCCUGCUUUUGUGGGGUGCUCGAGUGGCGAACGGGUGAGUAACACGUGAGUAACCUGCCCUUGACUUUGGGAUAACUUCAGGAAACUGGGGCUAAUACCGGAUAGGAGCUCCUGCUGCAUGGUGGGGGUUGGAAAGUUUCGGCGGUUGGGGAUGGACUCGCGGCUUAUCAGCUUGUUGGUGGGGUAGUGGCUUACCAAGGCUUUGACGGGUAGCCGGCCUGAGAGGGUGACCGGCCACAUUGGGACUGAGAUACGGCCCAGACUCCUACGGGAGGCAGCAGUGGGGAAUAUUGCACAAUGGGCGGAAGCCUGAUGCAGCAACGCCGCGUGCGGGAUGACGGCCUUCGGGUUGUAAACCGCUUUCGCCUGUGACGAAGCGUGAGUGACGGUAAUGGGUAAAGAAGCACCGGCUAACUACGUGCCAGCAGCCGCGGUGAUACGUAGGGUGCGAGCGUUGUCCGGAUUUAUUGGGCGUAAAGGGCUCGUAGGUGGUUGAUCGCGUCGGAAGUGUAAUCUUGGGGCUUAACCCUGAGCGUGCUUUCGAUACGGGUUGACUUGAGGAAGGUAGGGGAGAAUGGAAUUCCUGGUGGAGCGGUGGAAUGCGCAGAUAUCAGGAGGAACACCAGUGGCGAAGGCGGUUCUCUGGGCCUUUCCUGACGCUGAGGAGCGAAAGCGUGGGGAGCGAACAGGCUUAGAUACCCUGGUAGUCCACGCUGUAAACGGUGGGUACUAGGUGUGGGGUCCAUUCCACGGGUUCCGUGCCGUAGCUAACGUUUUAAGUACCCCGCCUGGGGAGUACGGCCGCAAGGCUAAAACUCAAAGGAAUUGACGGGGCCCCGCACAAGCGGCGGAGCAUGCGGAUUAAUUCGAUGCAACGCGUAGAACCUUACCUGGGUUUGACAUGGAUCGGGAGUGCUCAGAGAUGGGUGUGCCUCUUUUGGGGUCGGUUCACAGGUGGUGCAUGGCUGUCGUCAGCUCGUGUCGUGAGAUGUUGGGUUAAGUCCCGCAACGAGCGCAACCCUUGUUCACUGUUGCCAGCACGUUAUGGUGGGGACUCAGUGGAGACCGCCGGGGUCAACUCGGAGGAAGGUGGGGAUGACGUCAAGUCAUCAUGCCCCUUAUGUCCAGGGCUUCACGCAUGCUACAAUGGCUGGUACAGAGAGUGGCGAGCCUGUGAGGGUGAGCGAAUCUCGGAAAGCCGGUCUCAGUUCGGAUUGGGGUCUGCAACUCGACCUCAUGAAGUCGGAGUCGCUAGUAAUCGCAGAUCAGCAACGCUGCGGUGAAUACGUUCCCGGGGCU